rnacentral:rRNA from 1 species
CCCUUAGACGUUCUGGGCCGCACGCGCGCUACACUGACGAAGGCAACGAGCUUUCCUUUACCGAAAGGUACGGGUAAUCUUUUGAAACUUCGUCGUGCUGGGGAUAGAUCCUUGCAAUUUUUGAUCUUAAACGAGGAAUGCCCAGUAAGCGCAAGUCAUCAACUUGCGUUGAUUACGUCCCUGCCCUUUGUACACACCGCCCGUCGCUACUACCGAUUGAAUGGUUUAGUGAGGCCUUCGGAUCCGCGACUCGUUUUGUGGAGAAGUUGGACAAACUCAGUCAUUUAGAGGAAGUAAAAGUCGUAACA